rnacentral:rRNA from 1 species
UAACCUACCCAUCAGAGGGGGAUAACACUUGGAAACAGGCGCUAAUACCGCAUAACAGUUUAUGCCGCAUGGCAUAAGAGUGAAAGGCGCUUUCGGGUGUCGCUGAUGGAUGGACCCGCGGUGCAUUAGCUAGUUGGUGAGGUAACGGCUCACCAAGGCCACGAUGCAUAGCCGACCUGAGAGGGUGAUCGGCCACACUGGGACUGAGACACGGCCCAG